GUGCACCAGGCGAGAAUCCUUUACAAUGCGCGAAAGUGUGAUAAGGGGAUUCCAAGUGCUCAUACUUUGUAUGGGCUUUUUUAUAUGUAAAAGUAUAAAGGAUAAGUGGUGGGUAAGACCGGUGCCAGCCGCCGCGGUAACACCAGCGCCACGAGUGGCAUUCGUGUUUAUUUGGUCUAAAGCAUCCGUAGUCGGUUUGUUAAGUCUCUUGUGAAAUUGUUGUAUCUAAUAUAACGGCGAGCAAGAGAUACUAUCAAACUAGGAACCGGGAGAAGACAAGAGUAUUCUGGGGGGAACGGUUAAAUGUUAUAAUCCCCGGAGGACUACCAACUGCGAAGGCACUUGUCUAGAACGGGUUCGACGAUGAGGGAUGAAAGCUGGGGGGAGCAAAAAGGGAUUAGAUACCCGGGUAGU
rnacentral:rRNA from 1 species